rnacentral:rRNA from 1 species
AUACGUAGGUGGCAAGCGUUAUCCGGAUUUACUGGGUGUAAAGGGCGCGUAGGCGGGGGUGCAAGUCAGAUGUGAAAUCUAUGGGCUUGACUCAUAAACUGCAUUUGAAACUGUAUCUCUUGAGUGCUGGAGAGGUAGACGGAAUUCCUUGUGUAGCGGUGAAAUGCGUAGAUAUAAGGAAGAACACCAGUGGCGAAGGCGGUCUACUGGACAGUAACUGACGCUGAGGCGCGAAAGCGUGGGGAGCAAACAGGAUUAGAUACCCUGGUAGUCCACGCUGUAAACGAUGAAUACUAGGUGUGGGGGGACUGACCCCCUCCGUGCCGCAGUUAACACAAUAAGUAUUCCACCUGGGGAGUACGGCUGCAAGGUUGAAACUCAAAGGAAUUGACGGGG